AUUUAUUUAAUAUAUAUAGUAUAUUUAACUUCCAAUUAAAAAGACUGAUAUAAUCAGAAUAAAUA
rnacentral:tRNA from 1 species